CUUAAAACAAGUCAAAAUGAGGCUCAGUAGUGUGUGUGCCCUGUAUGUCUCUGUGUGACCUCCCUACAAUGCCUGUGCAUGCUCCUGAUGAGGUGGAGGAUGGUCUCCUGAGGGAUCUCCUCCCAAACCUGGACUAAAGCAUCUGCCCACUCCUGGACAGCCUGUGGUGCAACAUGACGUUGGUGGAUGGAGCGAGGCAUGAUGUCCCAGUUGUGCUCAAUUGGAUUCAGGUAUGGGGAACGGGUGGGCCAGUCCAUAGCAUCAAUGCCUUUGUCUUGCAGGAACUGCUUACACACUCCAGCCAGAUGAGGUCUAGCAUUGUCUUGCAUUAGGAGGAACCCAGGGCCAACCGCACCAGCAUAUGGUCUUACAAGGGGUCUGAGGAUCACAC